rnacentral:rRNA from 1 species
AUAAGAAGAAAGUAAGAAAGGGCGUAUGGCGGAUGCCUAGGCUCACAGAGGCGACGAAGGACGUGAUAAGCUGCGAUAAGCCCCGGGUAGAUGCAAAUAAUCUCUGAUCCGGGGAUUUCCGAAUGGGACAACCCGGCCGUCUGAAGGACGGUCACUCACGCUGAGCGUGAGAGCUAACGCAGGGAACUGAAACAUCUUAGUACCUGCAGGAAAAGAAAAUAAACAAUGAUUCCCCCAGUAGUGGCGAGCGAACGGGGAAGAGCCCAAACCGUGACUGUGGCAACGCAGCUGCGGGGUAGUAGGACCGCGACAUUGUAUGAAUCGAGUGAAAAGAAUCUUCUGGAAAGAAGAACCACAGAGGGUGAAAGUCCUGUAUUUGAACCAAGAUUCGGCAUAGCGGUAUCCUGAGUAACGCGGAACACGAGUAAUUCUGCGCGAAUCCGCCGGGACCAUCCGGUAAGGCUAAAUACUCCUGUGAGACCGAUAGUGAACCAGUACCGUGAGGGAAAGGUGAAAAGCACUUCGACAAGAAGAGUGAAACAGUUCCUGAAACCAUACGCCUACAAGCGGUCGGAGC